CCGCUGGCUUACGGGCCGUCGCAAAAACUCUGUCCGGCCCCUCGUUACUUUUCGCCAGGUCUUUUACCAUUUGGAGUCCGAUGCCCCUGCUCGUACCUGUGAUCAGCACCGAACGGCACGUGCUAAAUCCCCCGCUCAUAUUUUAUAAGAAUUAAGAAAAUCUGCUGGUGACGCAGUCCGCGGGAUAGUGUGUUUUGCUACUUCGCAAUCACUGAAAUGAAAGUGCAUUCCUGCGUGCCGAAGUCCAAUAGCGACUCUGGGUUGCAUAAUACAGCUCCACAGUGACGCCAUCGACAAUCACAGGGCGCUCGGCAACAAGCAUGGCCUUGCUGGGAAGAGGGAUCUGCCCUUGGAGGACGACUUCAAAUCAAAAAUGGGAGCCCUUGAGAAUGUGUCCCCCUCCCUCACAUCAGAAGAGUUGGGCCAGCCUUAGCCGGUCUUGGCGUCCCGUGUCCAGGACCUGAUCCCGCCUCGGUACCCCUAAUCACGCACUUUCCAAACAGACCCAGACACUCUGGCUGCUGCAGCCCAAUCUGCUAGGACCUUCCCUCCCGCUCAACUCCUCCCAACAAACAAAGGAUUGAGUUUUUGUUUUUAUUUGUUUUUCUUUAUUCCCAGUCAGUGGUUUUUGGAAAAAUUAUGUCUUAUGAAUAAUAAAACUAGUUAAGUGCACUGGA